rnacentral:rRNA from 1 species
AGGGUUUGAUCAUGGCUCAGGACGAACGCUGGCGGCGUGCCUAACACAUGCAAGUCGAACGAGGGCCCAGAGCUUGCUCUGGAGACCCGAGUGGCGAACGGGUGAGUAACACGUGACCAACCUAUCCUAGGGCGGGGGACAACCCGGUGAAAACUGGGCUAAUACCGCAUGAUUUCUCCACAUCGCAUGUCGUGGAGAUCAAAGAGGGCCUCUGCUUGCAAGCUCUCACCCAAGGAGGGGGUCGCGACGUAUCAGCUUGUUGGUGGGGUAACGGCCUCCCAAGGCUACGACGCGUAGCGGGUCUGAGAGGAUGAUCCGUCACAUUGGGACUGAGAUACGGCCCAGACUCCUACGGGAGGCAGCAGUGGGGAAUAUUGCGCAAUGGACGAAAGUCUGACGCAGCGACGCCGCGUGUGGGAGGAAGCCCUUCGGGGUGUAAACCACUGUCAGAGGGGAAGAACACCGUCGGCCCGAAUAAGGUCGGCGACUGACGGUACCCUCAAAGGAAGCGCCGGCUAACUCCGUGCCAGCAGCCGCGGUAAGACGGAGGGCGCAAGCGUUGUUCGGAAUUACUGGGCGUAAAGGACGGGUAGGCGGCCUGUUAAGUCGUGUGUGAAAAUCCGGGGCUCAACCCCGCGAAAUGCUCAC